CGGACGGGUGAGUAAUGUCUGGGAAACUGCCCGAUGGAGGGGGGUAACUACUGGAAACGGUAGCUAAUACCGCAUAACGUCGCAAGACCAAAGAGGGGGACCUUCGGGCCUCUUGCCAUCGGAUGUGCCCAGAUGGGAUUAGCUAGUAGGUGGGGUAACGGCUCACCUAGGCGACGAUCCCUAGCUGGCCUGAGAGGAUGACCAGCCACACUGGAACUGAGACACGGUCCAG
rnacentral:rRNA from 1 species